UAGGGAAUCUUCGGCAAUGGGGGCAACUCUGACCGAGCAACGCCGCGUGAGUGAAGAAGGUUUUCGGAUCGUAAAGCUCUGUUGUAAGAGAAGAACGUGUGUGAGAGUGGAAAGUUCAUACAGUGACGGUAACUAACCAGAAAGGGACGGCUAACUACGUGCCAGCAGCCGCGGUAAUACGUAGGUCCCGAGCGUUGUCCGGAUUUAUUGGGCGUAAAGCGAGCGCAGGUGGUUUAUUAAGUCUGAAGUAAAAGGCAGUGGCUUAACCAUUGUUCGCUUUGGAAACUGUUAGACUUGAGUGCAGAAGAGGAGAGUGGAAUUCCAUGUGUAGCGGUGAAAUGCGUAGAUAUAUGGAGGAACACCGGUGGCGAAAGCGGCUCUCUGGUCUGUAACUGACACUGAGGCUCGAAAGCGUGGGGAGCAAACAGG
rnacentral:rRNA from 1 species